UACGAAGGGUGCAAGCGUUAAUCGGAAUUACUGGGCGUAAAGCGCGCGUAGGUGGUUCAGCAAGUUGGAUGUGAAAGCCCUGGGCUCAACCUGGGAACUGCAUCCAAAACUACUGGGCUAGAGUACGGUAGAGGGUAGUGGAAUUUCCUGUGUAGCGGUGAAAUGCGUAGAUAUCGGGAGGAACACCAGUGGCGAAGGCGACUACCUGGCCUGUUUCUUGA
rnacentral:rRNA from 1 species